ACGGGUGAGUAACGCGUAUCCAACCUGCCCUUCACCACGGGAUAACCCGGCGAAAGUCGGACUAAUACCGUAUGUUGUCCAUUGACGGCAUCCGAUUUGGACGAAAGGCUUAACGGUGAGGGAUGGGGAUGCGUCCGAUUAGCUUGACGGCGGGGUAACGGCCCACCGUGGCUACGAUCGGUAGGGGUUCUGAGAGGAAGGUCCCCCACACUGGAACUGAGACACGGUCCAGACUCCUACGGGAGGCAGCAGUGAGGAAUAUUGGUCAAUGGGCGGAAGCCUGAACCAGCCAAGUAGCGUGCAGGAUGACGGCCCUAUGGGUUGUAAACUGCUUUUAUGCGGGGAUAAAGGAGCUCACGUGUGGGCUUUUGCAGGUACCGCAUGAAUAAGGACCGGCUAAUUCCGUGCCAGCAGCCGCGGUAAUACGGAAGGUCCGGGCGUUAUCCGGAUUUAUUGGGUUUAAAGGGAGCGUAGGCCGCCCCUUAAGCGUGUUGUGAAAUGCGGGUGCUCAACAUCCGACUUGCAGCGCGAACUGGGGGGCUUGAGUGCGCCGAAAGUAGGCGGAAUUCGUGGUGUAGCGGUGAAAUGCUUAGAUAUCACGAAGAACUCCGAUUGCGAACGCAGCUUACUGUAGCGCAACUGACGCUGAUGCUCGAAAGCGUGGGUAUCGAACAGGAUUAGAUACCCUGGUAGUCCACGCGGUAAAC
rnacentral:rRNA from 1 species